GUCACAGCGGCGCGUUCGGCCACCGCGUCCCGCUGUCCCGGCGGCGGGGCCGGAGCAGGCGGCAGGUGACGGCGGCGGCUGCGGGCUGAGCGGCGGUUUGCAGAGAAGCUGAAACACUGUCGCGUACCGUUGGGCUGGACAAGUAAGGAAUGAGCCAGCCUUGGGAAAGAGGACCUGCCAUCCUAGCUGGAGACAUCUGAAGAGAGGACAUUCUGGUCUUGUGGCAUGCUUCAGUAGAAAUUAUUCAGAGAACGAUGGCUGGCUGUGGCGAAAUAGAUCAUUCAAUCAACAUGCUGCCCACAAAUUAGGAAGACAAAUGAGUCGUGUGCUAAUGCAGCACCUUCCCUGACAGUCCCUGAAUGUGCUAUCUGUUCUGCAAACGUGUGUGCAUCCAGUAAGUCUGCCUUGUAAACAUGUUUUCUGCUAUCUAUGUGUGAAGGGAGCUUCUUGGCUUGGGAAACGAUGUGCACUUUGCCGGCAGGAGAUUCCAGAGGAUUUUCUUGACAAGCCAACCUUAUUGUCACCAGAAGAACUCAAAGCAGCAAGCAGAGGCAAUGGAGAAUAUGCUUGGUACUAUGAAGGUAGAAAUGGUUGGUGGCAGUAUGAUGAACGUACCAGCAGAGAGCUUGGAAGAUGCCUUUUCCAAGGGUAAAAAGAGCACUGAAAUGCUAAUCGCCGGGUUUUAUACGUAGCAGACCUUGAAAAUAUGGUUCAGUACAGGAGAAAUGAACAUGGACGCCGCAGAAAAUAAAACGGGACAUAAAUAGAUAUACCAAAGAAGGGAGUGGCUGGGCUGAGGUUGGACUGUGACGCUAACACUGUCAACCUGGCAAGAGAGAGCUCUGCUGAUGGUGCAGACAGCACGCUGACUCUGGGGGCUGCAGCUGGGCAGCCUCUAGCAUCCAUUUCUGCUAGGCCCCUGCCAUCGCUAGAUGGUCAGCUCAUGAGUCCUUCAACACCAUCACCUGUAAAUUUUCUGUCCACGUUGGCAUUGCACUCAAACCUAGCAGUGUGUUUGGUGGGGGGGGGGGGGGUGAGGGGAGAAGACAGAUUUGGCUGUUUAACUUAAGUCUCUUAACAUGUCUCAGCUUGGAAGACUAUUAACUGUAGGGAAACUGGGUUGUCCUGUUUAAUGGUUUGAAAGCUGCUUAGCAUGCCCAGUUUUCUUGAAAUGUCUUGUGUUUAUUUUUGUAGCAUCUCCCCUUGGAGAACUCAGUCCCUUUUGGCCAAUGUAUAUCUACUGUACAACUUGAAUUGUCUUCAUUAUCUGACUGUUGCGUUAAGUGUCUUACUACUUUCUGCAUGGAUUGAUGUAUGAAAAGAACACUAAAGCAAUGUGGGAGGCAGGCAAGAUGUGGGGUGUGAGCAGGACGCUAAUUUAAUGUGAGAAAAUAGAUGUGAGCUUGGAGUUUAAAAAUGUGUUUUUACUAGACAAGAGCAAUCACUUACCUUUCUUCAAUGGAAAUGUAAAAAUGCUGUUAACUUCCAUCGCAAAUUCUUACCUAUACACUCUUCAUGGCAUUUUCAUUGCUUUGCCAUCUAGUCCUUGUAGGUUGUUUUUGAGGUCUUUCUGAUCUGUCUCGUUUUUGUUACGGAAUUUAUAAUUUAAUAAAACUACAUUUUAUCAGUAACAAUCUCAAUAAGUCUCCAGUUUAAUUGAGCUUCACUGGAAGAACUUUAAAGAAUUACUAUAGAACAGCUUCCAGUGUUUGCCACAAGGGAAACUGGCUCUGAGUGGUAUCUUCAGUUGUUGCAUCCCGGACUGGCUGCCUGUCAAACACAACACUGUAGGAGUUAUGUCUUUCUGCUGAAAAAUCCAUUGAGUUGCAGGCUUAACACUCACACAGGCUUAACACUUUCUCAUCUGAAGAGCUGAUCAGCUCACUUCGCUCUUCCGGCAGUAGAAGUACCACACACAGCCUUACUUCAAUCAGCGAGAAACGUUGAAAUACAAAGGAGCAUAAGUUAAUCAGACUUGACCCUAUAACAAAGACACGGGAUGUUAAGGACUAUAUUGCUGUUCAUCUGUUCUUCAUAGCAAAACUAGGGCAGUACAGGAAAGGUAGUUUUGUGCUUUUAUUAGCAAUCUAGGAGAUGCGUUUCAACAAACUGUCUUCUGUGUAUUGGAGAAGAUUGAAAAGCACGCUUGUCUUUUCUCUUGAUAGCAGUUGGUUUACUUUUUUUUUCAAAGUGAGAAACAGCAUUAGCUGAUUCUGGACUCAAUCUUUAAAAUAAAGCUAAUUAAACUGCAAUU
rnacentral:lncRNA from 1 species